rnacentral:rRNA from 1 species
UACGUAGGGACCAAGCGUUGUUCGGAUUUACUGGGCGUAAAGGGCGCGUAGGCGGUAUGACAAGUCACUUGUGAAAUCUCCGGGCUUAACUCGGAACGGCCAAGUGAAACUGUCAAACUAGAGUGCGGAAGGGGCAAUCGGAAUUCUUGGUGUAGCGGUGAAAUGCGUAGAUAUCAAGAGGAACACCUGAGGUGAAGACGGGUUGCUGGGCCGACACUGACGCUGAUGCGCGAAAGCCAGGGGAGCAAACGGG